GGGAGGUAGUGACAAUAAAUAACAACACAGGGCUCUUUUGGGUCUUGUUAUUGGAAUGAGUACGAUUUAAAUCUCCUAACGAGGAACAAUUGGAGGGCAAGUCUGGUGCCAGCAGCCGCGGUAAUUCCAGCUCCAAUAGCGUAUAUUAAAGUUGUUGCAGUUAAAAAGCUCGUAGUUGAAUUUCAGGCCUGGCUGGACGGUCCGCCCUUCGGGUGAGUACUGUCUGUGGUCGGGUCCUACCUUCUGGCGAAGCGUCAUGGCCUUAACCGGCCGUGGCGGGGAACCAGGACUUUUACUGUGAAAAAAUUAGAGUGUUCAAAGCAGGCAAAUCGCUUGGAUACAUUAGCAUGGAAUAAUGGAAUAGGACAAUGGUUCUAUUUGUUGGUUUCUAGGACCGUUGUAAUGAUUAAUAGGGAUAGUUGGG
rnacentral:rRNA from 1 species